rnacentral:lncRNA from 1 species
AUCUCUAAUGCCUUGUCGCAAAUGUUAGGCCAAACUGCCCCUUAAAACAGGCGUCCCCUCCCACAUCUGAAGUCGCUUGUCCUUGUUCUGUGAACGAAGACCCGAAAGAGUUGGUGGGAUUUUCAGACUUCCUUCCUCCUGCUUUGUAACAAGGUCCAGGGCCGUGUGAGAGCUGCAGGGUGACGUUCGGAGAGGACGUCUCGUUUGGCUGUCAUAAGCAAUCUGCGGUGAUUUGUUGUGCAGACAGGCAUUUGUCUCAAGUAAUCCAAGGGGCUUAUUUUGAUUGCUUGAUAGAUCCAAGGAACGUACAGUCGACUCAGUGGGGGAUUCAUUUAUUAUGCUCCCAAACCAUUCCUAAAUCUUUCCUUAUGUCAUGUCAAUGGAUUUGGCAGGCCACCCUCGCAUAGCAGCAAGGCACUGAUGGGGGAGAUUUACCCUUGCCAAGCAGAGUUAGUUGCUGUGUUUAUAGACCUGUUCCUGAAGUGCCAGUGGUGAGUGAAAUUCUGCUGCGGGAAAUAACUGGGACUUUGCUUUGUGCCCUCAAGAGAAGGAUCUUCUCUUGACUUAGGGGAAAAAAAUAAGAAAAAACAACAAAACUUACUCCAAUUCCAUAGUAAAGCAGAAAAGACUAAGCCUAGGGGGUCCUAGCAAAGGCCAACAAACUGAUCUCCCAGCUUGUUCAUGAUACAAGCACGAGCUAACGGAUGGAAAGCCCUCUGAGGACGGAUGCUGAGCAAACACCAGGUAAUGCUAGCUCGGAGUUCAUGGCACGGUUUCCUUUAAUGUAUUCCUGAUGUUGAAAGUGUAUUUUGAUUUCAUUACAUUCAGCUUUGGAAUUUAUAGAGUGAGAUUUUAGCUCUAACACUGGGAUACCUGCUAAAACUAAUUUUCAAAUAGCGUUUUCAGGUAUGAAAGUGUCCUUUCUCCAACCUAUUCCAACGUCUUCUUCCCCAACUGGGGGCCACCGAUGGCCAACACUGGAGAGGACACAGUGGGUGAAUCCUUGGUUUUAACCAAUUCAUCUGCUCUCAUCCCACCCGGGAGGAUGCACACUGCAAGUCCUCCACUUCGGCCUGCUGUGAGUUACAAGUCUGGCUUUCAAAGGCGAUUCUGAUGACUCUGAUUUACAAUGACAGCAACUUCAGUGGCAUUUAAAGAGACUGGAAGGAAGAGAUAAAUAAGCUUGAAAAGUGCUUAAUAAAGCAAUGGAAAAAGCAU